rnacentral:rRNA from 1 species
UAGCAGAGGGUGCGAGCGUUAAUCGGAAUUACUGGGCGUAAAGCGCGCGUAGGCGGCUUUGCAAGUCGGGGUGUGAAAUUCCCCAGGCUUAACCUGGGAACUGCAUUCGAGACUGCGAUUGCUAGAGUAUGGGAGAGGGAAGUGGAAUUUCCGGUGAGCGGUGAAAUGCGUAGAUAUCGGAAGGAACAUCAGUGGCGAAAGCGACUUCCUGGACCAAUACUGACGCUCAUGUGCGGAAAGCGUGGGGAGCAAACAGG